AUGGCAAAGCAUCAACGUCGGAAACUUAUCCCUGAAGAUAUAUAUUCUAUUGAGCUGAACUACACCAGCAACAAGAUAGAUGCUAUUGAAAUGUUAGUUAAACCAUGUGAGUGGUUACUUAGAACGAGAAUCAGAAUCAGAUCAAACGAACACAUAUACAGUGAUACACGUCUAAAAAUUGAGUUUGUAAGAGUGAUGUCCCAUCAAAGAAGAAGGAAAAAAUGGUUAAAUGACCAUUGCCGAUUACUUCCUCGGUUCCAGAAUAUAAGGUGCAUGGAUUUCCAUGCAAGUCAAUUAUAUGAAUGUUUGGCCAAGAUUAUAAAAUAA
rnacentral:rRNA from 1 species